AAUCUCUCUCUUGAUUAUUCGGGGUAUUCCAAUGGCAACAGUUCUGUCUCCUCUUCUUCUUCUUCUUCAUGUUUUAUCGUCACUCUUUCUCUCUCUUCAUGUCUUUGUCUGUCUUCAUACGGUGGCCGCUGCUCGAGUGAGGAACCUGCCUGAAGUGGGGUCGAUUAUAAGCCGUAGUUUGCUUGACAAUGGUCUUGGAUUAACUCCUCCUAUGGGGUGGAACAGUUGGAACCACUUCCACUGUAACAUUAAUGAGAAGUUGAUCCGUGACACCGCUGAUGCACUGGUGUAUACUGGGCUUGCAACCUUGGGAUAUACUUACGUUAACUUAGAUGAUUGUUGGGGGCAACAAGAUAGGGACUCUCAGGGCAACCUAGUCCCAAAAGCCUCAACUUUCCCCUCAGGCAUCAAGGCUCUAGCUGAUUAUGUCCAUGGGAAGGGCCUCAAGCUGGGAAUUUACUCUGAUGCUGGGAAACAAACUUGCAGCCAGACCAUGCCAGGAUCACUUGGAUAUGAGGAUCAAGAUGCAAAAACAUUUGCUUCAUGGGGUAUUGACUACUUGAAAUAUGAUAAUUGUAACAAUGACGGCGUAGAUCCAAGAGAGAGGUACCCCAAGAUGAGCAAAGCUCUACUCAACUCUGGGAGGUCCAUCUUUUUCUCCUUGUGUGAAUGGGGAGACCAAAACCCAGCGACUUGGGCACCAGCCAUUGGGAAUAGCUGGAGAACAACGGGAGACAUCAAGGAUGAAUGGUCAAGUAUGACUAAUACAGCCGAUUCAAAUGAUGCAUGGGCCAAGUAUGCCGGACCAGGAGCUUGGAACGACCCUGACAUGCUAGAAGUUGGGAACGGGGGCAUGACAACGGAGGAGUAUCGUUCGCAUUUCAGCAUCUGGGCUUUAGUUAAGGCUCCACUUUUGAUUGGAUGUGAUGUCGGGUCAGCCUCCAAGGAAACUUUGGAGAUCCUUAGCAACAAAGAGGUCAUCGCCGUCAAUCAAGAUAAGCUUGGAGUUCAGGGAAAGAAGGUUAAAAAGGAGGGAGAUCAAGAGUCCGAUUCCACUCGAGAAUCAUUCGAGUCAGACAAAGAGGAUCAGAAUCGGACCCUAUUGAGGUUUGGGCUGGUCCACUUAGUGGUGGAAGGGUGGCCAUGAUCCUUUGGAAUAGGGGCUCCUACCAAACUUCUAUAACUGCCAAGUGGGAGGACGUGGGCUUAAAAUCAACAGCCACUGUUGAUGCGCGAGAUUUAUGGGCGCACUCAACAAUGUCAUCCAUCAAGGGCCAAUUGACUGCCACUGUAGAUUCUCAUGCUUGCAAAAUGUAUGUUCUCACACCAGUCAAUUAGUGGAGGAGCAUAAACCCUAACCAAAACAUAAAUUUCAAAGAUAAAGAUGGAAAAUAAAUCAUCUGUCCCCCUCCCCCUAUGUAGGUGGUCUUCAUGUUAAACCCAUUAAAGAAAGCACUGCUGUGUAUGUAUUUUAUACUUGAAAUAAUGUUUGAAGUGGGCAAGAAAGAUGGACACAAGUUAUGUAGAAUGGAUUUGUACAGCAAUUUAUAUGCAAUGAAUCAUUGGGGAGUUCCAAGAGC